CGCCUUUGGGUCUGGGUUUGGGGAGGUGAAGCAGAGGGAUGCUGCUGAGCGGGGGGAACGGUGCUGUACUUGCCACAGAUCUGUGCUUUGGGGAGAGGAAGAGACAACACGGGCUUAAUCCGUGCCAAAACUCAGUGAUCCCGACUCUUUCAGAAAUGCGGAUGCGAUUUCAAAAUUGUAACAAAGGGCAUCCCGGCUGUGUUUCUAGCAGCUAUAGCAAAGAAUAACCGUGCUUCUCACUGAAAGCUACUUUGAAAGAGAUCGCGUGUAAUAGGUAUUAGGAUAUUAAGAGUGUGUAUGUGAUUUUUUGCUUUUUAAUUUACACAUCCAGCUUUCCAGUUCUGGGAUGCCAUUAAUGUUCUUAGCCCAGAAUUACCUCGUUUAAAAAGCCAGGUUUUCUUAGCCCGCGCGGCAACACGGGCUUUAUGAGAUUUGAAUGGGCAAAUCCCAGUGGCAUGCUUUUUGCUGUAAGAACUUUUGUUUAGACGAAGGCACUGGUGGCUCAGCUCUCGUGAAUACCUCAGGUUAUCUUAUUUUGAGAUUAAACGGUUAGCAGUUCAGGGGCUGCUUUCCUCCAUGGUGCAUCGCAAAAGAGAGGGGGAAAUGGCAUGGUUUCUUCCCAGAAAUGGUGACACAAAACAGCUUGCUAAUUAACCCUUGCAUUGCGCCGUGCCACCGCAGGAUUGUUUCUGAUGAUUCAUCAGAUGGGAUAAUCCGCAGCGUGCGGAUAAAAGGGAAGGCAGGGCUGGGAGGCACAGCGUUGAGCACCCAACACACGCCGAGUGGUGGAGGGAAGGUGAGACCUGGGAAGAGCACAGCAACUCGCUGCCCCCCAAGCUGGGAUUUUGAGGCGAGGGUUUUUAAAAGGACUGAGCGGAUGUUCAAAGGGAGCGCAGUACCGCAUCCCUGAGGGGGCCUUCGAAAACCCAAACUUUAGGAGUUGUGUUGGACGCAGCAUCUCUCUUGGGUGAGAUCCCAGCCGAAGGAAAGCCUUUUAAUUGCAGAGUAGCACUUUUGCCCACUAACGUCAACAUGUCCUCCUUCCUCAGAGGCGGAAAUUCUGCUCCCAAAUAAAUAAAUGCUAUACGUGGCCCAUAUGUGGCAAUUUUCCCUAUCCUGGAGAGGCAGGAUACCAUAGCCGGGGGGUGACAUCUAGAGACCCCUCCAGUGAGGUCGGCACCUCCAGCUCCUGGGGCCCUGACCAGAAACGUCGGUGAACACCUCACGCUGUGGCUUCUUGCAUGCAGCAGGGAAAAGGCACGGAAGGGCUUUUGCUGGUGGUUUUGUGCACACAUUCUUGGGAGCCUGGGGCUGAAAAGGUUUCUUCCUACCGGUGCUUGCUGAUAUGGCGCAUAAUUAGUAUUUAUAGUCCCAGAAGUAUGCAAGGCGCUUUGUAGAGAAGUCAUCCUUCUGCAAAAGCCCUCGGCCUGGCUGUAGCUAGGCCUACUUUGGAACUCAACCUAACCCAAUUUAUGUAUCCUGCCAAACACAGAAUUAAGACACAGAGCUGACCGCACCAGCACUUUUUUUUCUUUUUUUUUUCCUGGCAUUGGAAACACUGACCUGCACUCCCAAGGCACUCGGAGCACCUUGUGGACCCUGCCUCACUUUUAGGCAACAGGAUUCCUGCGUGCCCAGCCACCCGUGGCCAGCAGAAGCCUUGUGGUUCCAGAGAAGGUCCCUUGAGAGAGGUGGGGGGGCGGCGGAUCUGCAGGCAGCUCUCCAGCGGCAGCUGUGCACCGGCGGCACGGGCAUGUGGGAGGCUGCUCCCGGGCUGCUGGAUGGAGAAGGAGAGGACCAGGGAAACGCUCCCACGUGGGAAGUGUCGGGAGCUGCCAGUGAGGCGGCGAGUUUCCCUGAGUGCUGGGGAAGCUGCCUGGAGCUGGGAUUUGUUGUCGAGCGUUGGCUCUCGCCGCCCAGAGAAGCAGCAGAGUGAACCGGCCUGACGCAGAUGAAGACCACAGAAUGGGUGGCAGCAAAAUUGCAAAAUCAGGAGUGAGAAACAGCAAGAAGACAUUGUGCUAGUCCCUGGUAGCUUCCACUAGUCAAUGAAAAAUCAGUCUGAAUGUUCUUUCCACCAAAAAUGCCAUUUUUAUUAAGAAUGUGAAUGUUUAGUGGGUUUGUAAACUUUUCAGUGAGUUUCAUUUGAAAAUAAGAAAGCAAAAUAUGAAUAUGUCCUGUUUGACUCCUGCUACAACAAGAAGCUUCAGUGUUUCAUUUCCAAACAACUUUUUCUUGAAGGGAGAAUUGGGUGCCUAUUGCGAAAAUCCCAGGCUGAGCAGCCUGAUAACUCCUGGCUUUCUGGGCCGGGCAGCAAGCACUGUGCAUCCUACCAGAAAGCCGGCAGGAAUUUCUGCUUUCCUGUGUGGAGGGUUUGGAUGUUUGGGCCAUGGCUAUAUCCCUCAAGCUGGACUCAGGAUUACCUGUCGGAGGUUUGGGCUGCAGAAUGGAUCAGUAUUGAAAUUGUCUGAGAAGUAAAUUUAAAGAAUGCACAGCUCAUAUUGCUGGCCUGCAAAAUCAGAUGUCAAACAAGGUUCUUCCUGUCACUUCUAAGAAGUCUGACAACUGAGAUAUGCACCAGGUGAAAUCCUGGACACAGUGUACCAGCCUGUCUGUCUGAGGGACAGAGGCUUAACCCAGUGCCCUGGUGAACCACUUACAGGCAAUACAUAUGAGGACUGCAUAACUCUGAGAACCUGGUGGCAGUAGUGGGAAACAGGUGACAGCUUAGUGAUAACCUGAAAGAACACAGAAGAUCCUCACUGAUUACCUUUGCAAGUGACACAAGACUGGAAGAACUAAAGAUUAUGAAGAGGCAGGCGAUAGAGAGCUUUCUGCCUGAAUUGAUAAGUCACAAAACUGGGAUGGAGUAAAAGCAGGAAAACCUCUGUAUGGAAGUGUGAGAUGAAGUGGAUUGGUCCUUGCCUGGCACAGGACAACUCUCCAGCAAACUUGUGACCACCAAUCUAGUUAACAGUGAAAGAAGAUCCAUUAACAGAAGGAAAAGCUAGUGUGAAAACACAGCUGGAGUGCAGCACCUC